GGAGGGAUACGACGCACGGGGAGGAGGAGGGGCUGCGGUGGCGGCGGCGGAGGGGCCGCGGCGACUCGCGGCGGUGGCGGCGGCGCUGGAAGUUCCCGAGUUCCAGCGCCGCAAGAAUGGGAAGCAAGCGAAGCCAAAAUGCCCCCGGGGAGCGCAGCCCCGCUGGAGAGGCCCGGCACUUCCACACCCCCGGCUCGCGGCUCCCCCAUAGCCCAGCCCGCUCCCUCGGAGCCAGCCAGGGACCUCGGGGCGCUGCCAGGGGCUUUGGCAUCUGCGCGAGCGAUGGGCCAGAGGAGGAGUGUUGUCAAGGCGAGGACCAGCGAGGGAUGGUGAUGCCGGCAACCUAUGGCUGAACUGGAGGUAAAUCACUAGCGGAUCGAUAACCUACCGAAGGUUCCUGAAAGGCUGCAACAUUGUACGGAGCCCGGUUAGCGGUUAAAUAAUUUCUUUAUUUAAUGUUUGCUACCUUAAGGAUACCGAAUAAAACCUUCUGGUUGGUGUUGUAACUGUUUCUUUACUGCUUACAGUCAAAAGAGAAUAAAAACAAAGCCGGUGUCCGCUGAUAAUUAGCUUUUUUUAGAAAAUCCAUAUCUGAUGAGGGAUUUAAAGGAGCACGAUUCGUUGUCUUUAUGUUUUGCAACGUGUCUGUGCUUUUUCUCGUCGAGCUGGGGCCUUGCAAGAACAAAUGUGUUUGUGGACAAUAAGAAUGUAUUUAGCAGGGAUCAAUGUAAACAGGGCAAGCUGUAAUUUUUAAAUAUUUCUUUAGCCUCAGUUAUUAACUGAUGCAACUUGUGAAGCAAAGACAAAAGUAUAUUUGAAAUUGUACAGAAACUAGACAAAGAAAUAUUUCUUUCCCUGUACAUAAAACCCCCUGAAAUUCUCAACUAUCUAACUUUCAACAAAAUUAAAUUUGAACAACAUUUCUGUGCAGCUGAGGGUAACCUGCCUUGAGCAUUUUUAUACGUGUUUCCAAGGCCUGCAAGCUCAGUGUACAAGCUGGAGCUUUGUGCUUGACAUGGUGAGAAAGCUUCGCUGCAAUCACCCUUCUGCUUUAUUGAAGAAAUGUUACCCUGAAAGGUUAAAGAAAGGAGGCUAAAACAUCACUUAUUUCCAUUGUCUUAUUACAAAAACUAUAUUUAUAUAGUGGAUGUCUAGAUGCUGUGCAUUUUUAAUAUACAAUUAUCACAUGUCCUAAAAAAAUCAUUAAAAUACUAACCUAGAAUUUGUUAUCAUUAAGGUAAAUUAAUUUUGUAGCAUAAAUUCUUUUUUUAAUAAAAAGAAAAGCAAGACUAUGUACUAGAUUUGAUCACUCUAUCUGUAGCUAGGAUCACUAUAUAUUUUGAAAUGUACAUGUAUCUCCCUUUCCCCAGACUUGUUACAAUAACCACUCCGUUUCAGCUUCAUUUUAAAUCUAUACUUCAAAUCAUUGAAAAAGAAAUUAAAUCAUAUUAAAUGUCUAAAUGUCUAAUAAAGAUUUUAAAAAUAAAGUGAGUUGAAUCUUUUUUUAGCAAUGUAAAAUGUGUAUUGUAAUAUCUUUCAUAGGUGAUUCUCACAACAAAGGGCUACAUGAAUAAUAUGAUUAACAUUUUAAUUUCCCUUGAUGUUUACAUAAAAGAAAGUAUACUGACGUAUGACAUCACUGAAACUGUAAACCAAGCAAUAGAAAAAUUUUAACAGUUAAGGAGUCUGAAAGUAGAGGAAAAACUCUCCUAGAUAUAUUGACCCUCCUUGUUCUUUUGGCAACUCAUAACUUUUCCUAUUGCAGUUCAAAAUACAGCCUGCAGAAUCAAAAAGUUCUUGGUGUUUUGAUAAUAAAAUAAGGAUUGUGUCUUUUAUUUAAAUUUUUUUAUCACCAAGCAAAAUGAAAUCAUAGUCCCAGGCUUGAGCUAGAGCACUGCAAUACUACAAGUAGUAUUUAAUAAAAAGCUUUUACAAAUGUACAUUCCACUUUGUUUUUACAGAUCAAAUGUGAGGGAUUUUUAUGUGCAUGUAUGGCACAACAUGAAAGUCAUGCACAAGAUAAAAUGCCUAAUUAUUAUUACUUGGUAAUACAUGUUAGAUUGAACUCCUGUAACAGUAACAAAUAUUCCAUUCAUUUCUCAGAGAUAUUAUUAAAGGUUUUUUUAUUUCAUUUAAAAUUAAGGAUUUUUUUGUAAUGUACACAAGUGAAGAAAAAUAUAAUCUCUAAAUUUUUACUGUCUUUAUUGUUUUGCCUUCUAAUGAUCCCUUUUCUUUCAUGUGAUGUUUUCACCUCACAUUAUUCUAAAAUAAAAUACAUCAGUCCUGCUUUAUCAGCAAGAUUUAAUGUUUUUGGGGGAAAUUACUCUGAAAGGUCUUCAUGGCAAAAAAAGAAAAAAUAGUAAUGGAAUUAUUUCAUUUCAUGACUUUCAAAUGUUAAUAUUCACAUACAAUUGCUAAAUUAAUUUUACAAAAAAAAAAGGGAAGAAUAAAGUUUCAUAGAUUUUCCUGUUGCUGUAGAUUUUACACAUCAGCUGUACUAAGCAAUGGACUGAUCCUAAGAGUUGCUGGUUUGGGAUGUCUCUUUUUACCCUAACUUGGCUCUUUCUUUUUAUUCUAUCCUCCUCUUUCCCCCUAAAAAUUGCUGUAAGCUCUAUAAGUAUCCAAAUACAGAUAUAUUAGCAUUUUCUUGAAUUACUGGUUACCUUUGACAGAUAAGAAUGUAGUAUCUUUGGUUUCUUCCUAAAUUUUCUGGUAUUUUUCUGCACUUUUGGUAUUAGUUGGUUGAGGGGUUUGGGGUUUUUUUGUUUGUUUUUUUACCGAUCUAUUUUAGCCAGUGUUUUUUUGUGUCAGUAUGAUUUUAUACCUUGUGCCCAGAAAGUACAUUUUUUUGACCCCAGUAGUGGCAGUACUUGACAUGAAAAGCUUUUCUAUUUCUUUUGAAAUUUACUCUUCUCCUUUUCUCUAGAGACAAAGGAAAGUAUUUAGGGUUUGCAGAUUGUCAAAGUGAACAAUGUAGCUAAAUAUUUGAAGCAUGAUAUUGGCAGGGGGUGGCUGAGAGCAACAUAAAGCAGUGACUAAGUUUUCUUCGGGUUUGGAUGGUUGGUGGGUUACUUGAACAGGGCUUUUUUGGUGAGUUUUUUUCCACCUCAAAUGAGAAUUAUCACCACUAGUUGCUUGUUGAUUCUUACUCUUGAAACCAACCAUAAACUUUACAAGGGCAAGACAUGUGUGAUGAGUGCUUGUGAGGCCAGCAACUUUUUUUUAUUAUCAUCAUUUGUGUUAACUUCAUGCAGAAAGAACCACACAUGCUAAAAUACAAUACUGCUAUGAGCAAAUUCCCUCUGUAGUUUCAGACAAUAACUUGGAGCUUAUCUAAGUAGCUUCACAUCAGAAUUCUUUUAAAUAUUCACUUGUUCAUGCUUCAUGCCAAGAAUACAUCCAUAUCUUUUCUGCACCCGGCAUCAGUAACCUACCUGAACUUCCUACUAUGAAGUUUCUAAUAGAGUGCUUAGCUGCUUUGUAUUCUACCCUUAUCAGAUAUUAAAUAGUGAACUGUAUGCUUCUAUUUUUUACUUUAUUUCCCAUUUCAGUGUGCCCUUUACCACAGAACGUGCAUGUCUUUCCACUCCACUAUUUUUGAAAAUAUUUCCUGUUACUCCUGCUUGCUUCUCACCAAUGGCCAAGAGGAGCUUAGAAUUAGGCACCUAUAUUACCCAAACCACCAGCAGCACUGACAAA